CGCGGACCCACUAUGUGUGGGCUUUUACGCUAUUUCUCUUCAUUAAAAAUGUUAAUUAAUCUUUUUCGAUCGUCUUAUCAAAAGCGCCACAUAUUAUCUCAAGGAAACGAGAAACUGUAUUACGUCAUCAUUAUAUUUUGUUUUUUUCAAUGCGACUUGCUUUCCUCCAAUCACAGUCUGAUCGGCCACACUGCAGCUGCGCGCCUCUUACCCUAUGCUCUUACCCAACUCUCUCUCGGUAUCGCGAGAUUUCAUAGUCUUCCUCGCCGUGUGGACGUUAUCUCUGGAAGGUGUGCUCUAUGGCGGUGGCUGUUUCAGCGACUCUGUAUUGAACAGUAAAAGCUCCCAAUAAAUAAUCUCACCAGACACCCCAGUGGAGAGCAGGUGCUAGAACAUAUCUCUUGACUGUACUAUAUUUCCAAAGCCAAUGGCAGAACUUUUUGGGUUCAAACCUCCUUAAGGGGGGCAGUGCACCACUCUGGAGUUCAUUUGAGCAAAGGUACUUAAGUUUUCUCUUGUGUAGUAUUAAAUAAGAGGGCUCACUUACUUUAGCAUAUGCACUCUAAGGGUAUAUGGUCCUCCAGUGACCCAAAGAAUAAAGUAUCUCAGUGUUUCCA
ensembl:lncRNA